GGUUUCCUGGUGUAAUGGUUAUCACUGUGGAUUUUGACUCAUUAACAUCAUGAAGCAAAUUUCCACCAAUCUGGGUUCGAUUCCCGGGGAGACCU